CAACCCCCACUGCCAGCUUGGUCCUGCAUGGCCCCCAGAGGACCUUUGCCUUUGGGUUUAUGUGGGUGUAAUGGGUUUUACUCGUGCCUGUAACAGUGAUUGUCUCAGCAGGCAGCAGCUGAGUCGUUUGCUCUGCAACUCCUCUCAGGGUGCCUGGGAUUCUUUUGCUGUCUGCUGAUUUUUUUUAAAACAAGGGUCUUGGUGAAUCCUAAGGGUGAAACUCUUUGAUUGCUGAUCACUUAGGGAGGAUUAGCAGCACAGAUGCUGGACAGGAGAGAACUGAGAAGGGUCACUGAGGGCUGAGGUUCCUCCUCUGAGGCAAAUGCAUGGACCAUUGCAGAUAGUAACUUAUCCCUUUGAAGGCUUUGGCCCCCCUCUCCUCUAGGAAUUCUUCAAGUGCUUAUAUCCUGUACAACUUGGAGACUUCUGUCUCCUUAGAGGAUUUCCAAAGCAGAUAAACAGAAAUGCUCCAAAAUGCAACUGAGAUUUUUUUUUUUUAAAGCUUUCAUCAGAAUCAAACAUGGUGUCUGUACAACAGAGGGACAAGGAAACAAAUUCUCAAAGUCUCAGGGCCACGAUUCUAGUUCAAAUUAAUUCAAGACUUCAGUUUGUCCCUGCAGUCAUUCCUGAUGUAGCUGUACUUUAGAAAGCAGUGCUCUGUGAACGAGGUUCUGUUGCACCAUUUGCUCAGCAAGAAGGAGAGCCUUGGAAAAGCAGGAGAGUAUUUGGAAAAGCCACACGUGACUUUGUGGAAUUCCCAGCUGGCUGGCCUGAGAUCAGGAGCCUCAAGCCCGAGCCUUCCCACAUUUCAGAACCGAAACAGGAGUGCAGGAUAUUUGGGGAGCUCGUGUGAGGCUGGCCACCAUCUGAUCCCGGGGGAGAGAAUGCUCCUAAAGCCUUGUGUGUGUGCGGUGCUUCCUCCCGUUCUGCAACAGCACAAAAUGGAAAGGCACUGGUGACAUCCUCCCAUCCCAGAAAGCAUCUCCUGGUUCAGCAGAGAGGCUCCAGCACUGCUCUAUGCCAGUACUGGGAAGGAGGUAUUUGCCAUGAGGGAUUCAGCUGUG